rnacentral:rRNA from 1 species
AAUGAACGCUGGCGGCGUGCUUAACACAUGCAAGUCGAGCGAGGCCUGGGGGGCAACUCCCAGAGUCGAGCGGCGGACGGGUGAGUAACACGUGGGUAACCUGCCCGGAAGUGGGGAAUACCUCGGGAAACUCGAGCUAAUACCGCAUGACAUCUCCGGGACGAAAGUCCUGGCGAUCAAAGCGGGGUCGCAAGAUCUCGCGCUACCGGA